rnacentral:rRNA from 1 species
GGGUUGUGAGGUUAAGCGACUAAGCGUACACGGUGGAUGCCCUGGCAGUCAGAGGCGAUGAAGGACGUGCUAAUCUGCGAAAAGCGUCGGUAAGGUGAUAUGAACCGUUAUAACCGGCGAUGUCCGAAUGGGGAAACCCAGUGCAAUUCGUUGCACUAUCGUUAACUGAAUACAUAGGUUAACGAGGCGAACCGGGGGAACUGAAACAUCUAAGUACCCCGAGGAAAAGAAAUCAACCGAGAUUCCCCAGUAGCGGCGAGCGAACGGGGAGCAGCCCAGAGUCUGAAUCAGCUUGUGUGUUAGUGGAACGGUCUGGAAAGUCCGACGGUACAGGGUGAUAGUCCCGUACACCAAAAUGCACAGGCUGUGAACUCGAAGAGUAGGGCGGGACACGUGGUAUCCUGUCUGAAUAUGGGGACCAUCCUCCAAGGCUAAAUACUCCUGACUGACCGAUAGUGAACCAGUACCGUGAGGGAAAGGCGAAAAGAACCCCGGCGAGGGGAGUGAAAAGAACCUGAAACCGUGUACGUACAAGCAGUGGGAGCACCUUCGGGUGUGACUGCGUACCUUUGUAUAAUGGGUCAGCGACUUAUAUUCUGUAGCAAGGUUAACCGUAUAGGGAGCCGCAGGGAAACCGAGUCUUAACUGGGCGUUAAGUUGCAGGGUAUAGACCCGAAACCCGGUGAUCUAGCCAUGGGCAGGUUGAAGGUUGGGUAACACUAACUGGAGGACCGAACCGACUAAUGUUGAAAAAUUAGCGGAUGACUUGUGGCUGGGGUGAAAGGCCAAUCAAACCGGGAGAUAGCUGGUUCUCCCGAAAGCUAUUUAGGUAGCGCCUCGUGAACUCAUCUUCGGGGUAGAGCACUGUUUCGGCUAGGGGUCAUCCCGACUUACCAACCCGAUGCAAACUACGAAUACCGAAGAAUGUUAUCACGGGAGACACACGGCGGGUGCUAACGUCCGUCGUGAAGAGGGAAACAACCCAGACCGCCAGCUAAGGUCCCAAAGUCAUGGUUAAGUGGGAAACGAUGUGGGAAGGCACAGACAGCCGGAUGUUGGCUUAGAAGCAGCCAUCAUUUAAAGAAAGCGUAAUAGCUCACUGGUCGAGUCGGCCUGCGCGGAAGAUGUAACGGGCUAAACCAUGCACCGAAGCUGCGGCAGCGACACUAUGUGUUGUUGGGUAGGGGAGCGUUCUGUAAGCCUGCGAAGGUGUGCUGUGAGGCAUGCUGGAGGUAUCAGAAGUGCGAAUGCUGACAUAAGUAACGAUAAAGCGGGUGAAAAGCCCGCUCGCCGGAAGACCAAGGGUUCCUGUCCAACGUUAAUCGGGGCAGGGUGAGUCGACCCUAAGGCGAGGCCGAAAGGCGUAGUCGAUGGGAAACAGGUUAAUAUUCCUGUACUUGGUGUUACUGCGAAGGGGACGGAGAAGGCUAUGUUAGCCGGGCGACGGUUGUCCCGGUUUAAGCAUGUAGGCUGAUUGUCCAGGCAAAUCCGGAUAAUCAAGGCUGAGGUGUGAUGACGAGGCACUACGGUGCUGAAGUAACAAAUGCCCUGCUUCCGUGAAAAGCCUCUAAGCAUCAGGUAACAUCAAAUCGUACCCCAAACCGACACAGGUGGUCAGGUAGAGAAUACCAAGGCGCUUGAGAGAACUCGGGUGAAGGAACUAGGCAAAAUGGUGCCGUAACUUCGGGAGAAGGCACGCUGGUGUGUAGGUGAAGUCCCUGCGGAUGGAGCUGAGACCAGUCGAAGAUACCAGCUGGCUGCAACUGUUUAUUAAAAACACAGCACUGUGCAAACACGAAAGUGGACGUAUACGGUGUGACGCCUGCCCGGUGCCGGAAGGUUAAUUGAUGGGGUUAUCCGUAAGGAGAAGCUCUUGAUCGAAGCCCCGGUAAACGGCGGCCGUAACUAUAACGGUCCUAAGGUAGCGAAAUUCCUUGUCGGGUAAGUUCCGACCUGCACGAAUGGCGUAAUGAUGGCGGGCUGUCUCCACCCGAGACUCAGUGAAAUUGAACUCGCUGUGAAGAUGCAGUGUACCCGCGGCAAGACGGAAAGACCCCGUGAACCUUUACUAUAGCUUGACACUGAACAUUGAGCCUUGAUGUGUAGGAUAGGUGGGAGGCUUUGAAGCGUGGACGCCAGUCUGCGUGGAGCCAACCUUGAAAUACCACCCUUUAAUGUUUGAUGUUCUAACGUUGGCCCCUGACCGGGGUUGCGGACAGUGUCUGGUGGGUAGUUUGACUGGGGCGGUCUCCUCCCAAAGCGUAACGGAGGAGCACGAAGGUUAGCUAAUCUGGUCGGACAUCAGGAGGUUAGUGCAAUGGCAUAAGCUAGCUUGACUGCGAGCGUGACGGCGCGAGCAGGUGCGAAAGCAGGUCAUAGUGAUCCGGUGGUUCUGAAUGGAAGGGCCAUCGCUCAACGGAUAAAAGGUACUCCGGGGAUAACAGGCUGAUACCGCCCAAGAGUUCAUAUCGACGGCGGUGUUUGGCACCUCGAUGUCGGCUCAUCACAUCCUGGGGCUGAAGUAGGUCCCAAGGGUAUGGCUGUUCGCCAUUUAAAGUGGUACGCGAGCUGGGUUUAGAACGUCGUGAGACAGUUCGGUCCCUAUCUGCCGUGGGCGCUGGAGAAUUGAGGGGCUGCUCCUAGUACGAGAGGACCGGAGUGGACGCAUCACUGGUGUUCGGGUUGUCAUGCCAAUGGCACUGCCCGGUAGCUAAAUGCGGAAGAGAUAAGUGCUGAAAGCAUCUAAGCACGAAACUUGCCCCGAGAUGAGUUCUCCCUGAGACUUUAAGUCUCCUGAAGGAACGUUAAAGACGAUGACGUUGAUAGGCCGGGUGUGUAAGCGCAGCGAUGCGUUGAGCUAACCGGUACUAAUGAACCGUGAGGCUUAACCUUACAACGCCGAAG